UUAAUGUUUAUCUUUACAGUGAAGAUGAGUUCGAUAUUGUGGCAUUAUCAUCAACUCCGUCACAGACGACUCAAGACCUACGACAGCAACUCUUGAAAGAUGGCUUCCGGUUAGAUGAGGUCCCUGAUGACGAAGAGCUUGACUUGAUUCCACCUCGACCGAUGGUUGACCGAUGCGCAUGCUGCCAAGCGCAAGCUAACUGCACAAUACAAUGACACGCAUCAAGUCCAUAUUGGACCCUUCCCCCCACGACACGCCCCCUUCUUAUUUAUAAAUAGAUAUGGAAAUAGAUGUGAAUAUGUAUAUUUCUUCAACUGCGGAAAAUAAUCACUUCACUGGAUCGUGUUGAAUCCAAGCAAUGAAGAAAAACGGACUUGGCAAAGAGAAAUGGUUGAUCCGAGGAAUAUUGAAUUAUGGUUGUGCAAGAGAUAUUAUUGGUAUAUAUCAUGGAUUAAGAAUGUGUAUAUCAAUAUUGUUUUCACAUAGAGGUGUGUUGAAAGUCUAUUUUAUGAUGGUGCACAUGUGUAUAUUGAAAUGCAGCAAUCAUUUUUAUUUUAAUGUGUUAUGCCAAUUGUGUGUAUUGCAUUUCUGACUAUAUGUAAUAUUUAUGCCAAAUAUAUGUUUCUUUCUCUUUCAAUUUAUUUUCACUGUCCUUAUCAGUUUGUCAAGAUAAGGAAACAUUGGUUUCCUAUGUGUAUUCAUGUUUUGUUUUUAUAAGUUGUCUACUUUCUACCGGUACCUUAAAAAUUGACUUAUUACUUUAUGUCUAUAAGCUUCAAUUACAUUAUUUAUGCUAAAUUAUUUGUUUUUUUUUAAUUUUACCCAUAUAUAAAUCUGGAAGAAUUUCUGUCCAUGCUAGAAAUGUACUCUAUUAUUUAUUCCUGCUUUUACUUUGUAAUACUUUAUUCACAUCAUUCAUAAUAGAAUAUGAAAGUGUAGCAGUUCUCCUAUACAUGUGAAAUACUGUCAGGAAAAAAAAGUUCUAGCUUGGAACCCAGAAUAAGAGAGAUUGUCGUUGCUUAUACAAGUAACACUGUUUGAUAAGAUUCCAAGAAAACCGGAUGCAUAGUUCUUUUGAUGUACUAGUUUUGUUUAGUAUUUUAAAUAUAUAUACUUUCCCAUGGAGUGUCAUCUCCAAUACGAACGAAACAUGUACCUCUUGUUCUAUCCAAAGAGCUCACCGACAGCUUUUUACCUCGAAACCCUAUCCUUGAAUUAUAAAUAUUUUGUCUUGCUUCCACUACAGCUUAUAUUGCUUCUAAACACCGGACAUGGGACACUUAAGCAUUUUGCCGAUCAGAUUUCAGCCGAACGUUUUAACGUUGAAGAGUGGUGGAGACAUAAUUUGAUUUCUACCUCUCCUCUGACGCAUCCGGGGAGCUACGAUCGGUUGGUUUGAUGACCGCUGUUGCAGAAAUACAAUGAUUAUCUUGUUUAUAAGGAACUGGAAAUCACAGGAUAGUGAGCAAGUUCAUGCUGACAAAAAUGCCAAAUGGCCUGAUGUUGCUAUAUACGUGUAUAGCAGCUUUGUGCAAGAUUGACAAUGGCAUUAGAAACUGCCAUUCCCUACAGAUGCUAUACUACAAUAUUUAAAUUAUUAGAAGGCUAUUAUCAAAGAGAGAAAACAGGCUCUUUCUUCAUGUUAAUAUUGAUCAUGUCCACGUGAGAUGACGGCCCUCUCACAUUGUGUGUGUGAAUGACCGCUGAAGAUAUCGCUGUUACUCCUUUCAAAGCCUGGUGACACAAAACUCCAUAACUGAUCACAUAGCUGACUUUAUGAUCGAUUCCUGUUAUUAUCAUUUGCAUUCAAUCAUGUGAGUGACUCGUGUGAUCAAUUACUAUGUUUUGUGUUUACUGGCUCCCCUGGACUAUUGAGACUUUAGGUGUAAUGAGUUACAAAAAAGCUUAACCAAAACACUCCACUGCUGAGAUCCAAUGUUGACCACCUGGGAAACAGAUAUGAUCAUUCAUCUCGCGGUCACAAUCAUUUACCAUUCUCUCAAUGUAUUUGUGUGAAUAAUUAGAUUCCCUCUGCCAGUAUCAUGUUUCAUGUUCGUUACUCCCAGUUAGCUUAUCAUACAUACCAUCUAUGUGUUAGAGAAUGGGCAUGAAUGAACAAAUCUUUAAUCAGCAUGUCUAUCAAAAUAAUCAAGCAUGGCUUUCCAUAUCUGUGGUAAUGUGAGUUUUUCAUCUCUCUUUCUUUGACUUGCUUUUUUUUAUUCAUCUCAUUGGAGGGUUUGUAUGAAUAAAAAUGCUGCAAUAUAAUAUCUUGCGUUAAGAUUUGCUUAAACAUUCUUUUUGUUUAAAGCCCUUGUAUUGUAUUUUAGUUAACUUUAGGAUUAGGUUAGUACGUUGUCUAGGGUUUUAAGCAAAAUGAUCGAUUGUAAUAGAAAUAAUUACUGCCAAGUAAUUGUGAAUGGAGCAUAGGUAUCAGUCAGAUAACACAGUUGACCAAUUGGUCACUCUAAUAUUCACCAAGAAAUACUACCUUCGUAUGGUUCAAUACAAUCUUAUCAGCAAUCAUUUGUGCAAUAGAUACAGUACUGCUGACCAGUUUCUAUUUUGAAUGUUUGCCAAAUCAGUUGACGUAUGCAAGGUGUCUGACAUUUGGAAUUCAAAAGAAAAUGGUGUUGCAAAGUGCAGGGCUGUGUUCAUGUUAAACUCCUAAGAUAUCUGUCUGUGUGGCAUUAGCACUUGCUCUAGGUGUCUUACCAGAAAUCAGAGCCACUUUUAUACCUUCUUAGCAUGUAUCUUAAUCAGUCCUUUUUUCUAUUCUAGUCCUCCCAUUUCAACGUUUAGAAGACAAAACCAAAAAUUGCUCUGACUUUAGGUAAGUUCCUUACAGAAUAUUCAUCUUGUGUCUCGACAUUCCUCUGGAAUUGCAUUUAAGAGUAAGAUUGACACCACUCUUUAUGGAAAAAAUUUGUGUAUAAUGUGCAUUCUGACUUAAAUGCUGUCAGUUACUCAACCCAAAAUGCUUUAAAAAUUCAUUAUACCAUACCACAUCCAUACCAAUAUAGUAAGAAUAAUGAAUUGCCCUUUCAUAGAAAGUGAAAAGUGGAAUGCAAAACACAUAUGCAUGUAUUGUAUCUAUGAUAUUUUUAAUGGUUUCAUCAGCUAUAAAUUACUUCCACACUUGUAGAGGUGCACCAACUUGGAAUUACCAUACAUUAGUUUGAAGCAUUCAAUCAAAUCUGUUUCCUCAUAUCUGUGUUCACUCAUUAACUACGAGAAUUAGGUCACCUAUGUUAAGUAGAGAACAUAGAAAUCAAAAGAGGAGUAUGUUUCUAUACUAAUCUGAUGAACAUGCUGUGAAUGCAUGGAGAACAUGACUGCUGCAGGUGUCUUCUUCAAAUCCUUCAAAUCGACAGUGACGCACCCAUGUACGCUUUCUACUCGAUGACAAUGGUGAAACAAGAACCUGACAGAAAGAAGCCAUUACUUAAAGACGUCCCACUAUGCCGUACCUGUACGCCUUGAGGGCAAUCAAUGUUAAAAGUGAAACUAAAAGUCACAGAGCGAAAUGGAGGUUUCAAAUGUAAUGUCCCUGACCAUCACAAAUUUAUCCCUGUGCUAGAUUUCUCCUCUUUCCAUUCCAUCUUGACUGCACCAAAAGAUUUGUGAAUUGCAGCUAUAAAGGACUUCUGUUUUCCCUGAAGUGAACGGUAGUGACUUCAAUGUAUUGCAUUCCCUUAUUUAUGUAUGUUGUAAUUUAUAUGUUAAGCCUACCUAUUUAUUGAAAUGAGGUGAUUUACUAAUGCUCCACAUCUACUUGAAAGUGAACCUUUUAAAAGAUUGUACAUGUAGUUGUGAGAGGAAAUGUGAUAAACAUUUUGAAAUUCUGUUUACUACACUCAAUCACACACAAUCUCACCCAGGGGCUGGAAAAUUUGACAAGCAAAAAAAAAAUAUAUAUAUGUAUAUAUAUUCUCGUCCAAAAUAAAUGUUUUUAUUUCGAUUUUGAAAAUGAUGUAUUUCUUUCCAUCAGAAAAUAUCAGAAAUAGUAGGGGGGACAUUUGAUAUUGUGUCCCCCCUACUAUUUUGGGUGGGGGGACACGUCCCCCCUGGGAUUUCCGCCCAUGAUCACACAUGUGUAAAGAAUUUUGUAUCGAUUGCUGUUUGGGUUCAUAUUGUACAUGCAAACCUUGAACUAAAACAGUUGGCUGUAAUUUAGUACCAUGACAUCUGGGUAUAGAUACAUUGAAUGUUGUCUUCUCGCAAAUACAUGGGAAAUAAUCGCAUCUCUUUCUCUCCUUAUUGUCUCUCUAUUUCACUCCAUCUCUCUUGCUUUGUCUUGCUGUCUCUUCUCUCUCUCUCCUCUCUUUCUCUCUCUCUUUACCCCCUGGGUACACAUUCUGUGACAUGAUAGAUAGGAAAAGAUGAUGGUUAAAGGCAUCUACAAAUUAUCCAUUAGACCCGGGCAUGAUCUGAGAAAUAGUGGCCUAGUUUUUUCGGUCUCAACAUUUAUGGAAUAUUUAUCAUAGACAGGUGGCAUUUGUUUUCUCUAUGGACUUGUCUGUGAAUGUCUUGCUAUCCACGAGGGAUAAAACAAGAGCGAUGAUACAGGAGAGUCGGGUAGUCCAUGCCUGCAGAAAUAUCAGGACACUUAAGCUAGGUAGGAUCAUUUAAGAAUGAUCGUUUAACCCCUGCAUGACUAGGAUCAAACCACAUUUAUUUUUACUUCAUAUAGGUCGGAAUAAAAAAAAAGACAAAUUUUUUUAAAUCUUGUGGAACAAUUUUCCUUUUUUGCUUUUACUGAUGAUGGAAUAAUAGCACUUGUGUAAGUUAUGUUUUGUAGGAGUACUUUGUUAAAAGUUCAGUGAAAAUGGUAUUCACUUGUGUAUCUGGUUUGUUGAACACUUAUUUUGAGACAAGUUAAAUUGUUCUCAUUGAUUUAUGCGUCACUGUGUGUAUACUGCUAACCUUCAUUUUCUAUUGAGUAGCUUCCUUUCUGCUUCUAAGAAUGUUUGUACCCAGUAUCUUAAAAAUUAAUAUCAUUAUUAAGCAUUGAAAACAGAACAAAAUUAUAGUUUUGAAUGCCAAGUGUGUAUGAUGUUAUUUCAUCAAUUACUUGCUUUCAACUGACCAAGUCACAUUAUG